rnacentral:rRNA from 1 species
CAGUAGCCGCGGGAAUACGUAGGGUGCGAGCGUUAAUCGGAAUUACUGGGCGUAAAGCGUGCGCAGGCGGUUCGUUAAGACAGAUGUGAAAUCCCCGGGCUUAACCUGGGAACUGCAUUUGUGACUGGCGAGCUAGAGUAUGGCAGAGGGAGGUAGAAUUCCACGUGUAGCAGUGAAAUGCGUAGAGAUGUGGAGGAAUACCGAUGGCGAAGGCAGCCCCCUGGGCCAAUACUGACGCUGAGGUACGAAAGCAUGGGGAGCAAACAGGAUUAGAUACCCCCGUAGUCCCUGUCUCUUAUAC